rnacentral:rRNA from 1 species
UACGUAGGCAGCAAGCGUUGUUCGGAAUUACUGGGCGUAAAGAGUGUGUAGGCGGUGCUCUAAGUUCGGUGUGAAAUCUCCCGGCUCAACUGGGAGGGUGCGCCGAAAACUGGAAUGCUUGAACAUGGGAGAGGAAAGGCGGAAUUCCUGGUGUAGCGGUGAAAUGCGUAGAUAUCAGGAGGAACACCUGCGGUGUAGACGGCUUUCUGGACCAUUGUUGACGCUGAGACACGAAAGCGUGGGUAGCAAACAGG